CUAUAGGUGUCAUACCACCAAUUACUCCCUCAAAUUUAGAACGUAUGUGAAAGUAGGCCUACUCGGACAAAAAAUAGUGCAUUUGAUGUCAUUGUUUACUUAAACUAACCAACAAAUUGGCAGAAAUGAAACUUUUGGUGAAAGAGAAAUAUAUUGAGACCAUUUUGAGCUAAAAUUUACUUGUUUAUGAGUUUGCAUUCAAAAUUGAGGAUUAAUGCACUCCAUAGUAUACUAAUUUAAGAUUUCCAGAAAACCAGGGGUUAUUUUUAGUGGUACCUCUAUUCGGAAGGCCUUUUCUUUUUUUAUAUGAUUUUAAACACCUGUUGAAAUUUGGCAUGUAGAAAGCUGAUACAUGUACGAUUCAGGAUAUACCUGGUUUCUAUGAAGUUAAACUUAAGGUAAAAUAUUUAGAAAGCUGUGAAAAUUAUAAAAUUUGGUUGAACAGAU
rnacentral:lncRNA from 1 species